rnacentral:rRNA from 1 species
CCAGACUCCUACGGGAGGCAGCAGUGGGGAAUAUUGGGCAAUGGGCGCAAGCCUGACCCAGCAACGCCGCGUGAAGGAAGAAGGCUUUCGGGUUGUAAACUUCUUUUAAGAGGGAAGAGAAGAAGACGGUACCUCUUGAAUAAGCCACGGCUAACUACGUGCCAGCAGCCGCGGUAAUACGUAGGUGGCAAGCGUUGUCCGGAUUUACUGGGUGUAAAGGGCGUGCAGCCGGGCUGACAAGUCAGAUGUGAAAUCCCGCGGCUCAACCGCGGAACUGCAUUUGAAACUGUCAGUCUUGAGUACCGGAGAGGUCAUCGGAAUUCCUUGUGUAGCGGUGAAAUGCGUAGAUAUUAGGAGGAACACCAGUGGCGAA